CAGAGAGAUAUUCUGAGGCGAUUCUUGGAUUCAAUCGUUUGUUCAUCAGAUUUCGGUCUCAGGUUAUCGACCAUGUCUGAGAAGAUUGUGUAUGCUAUCUUGAAUCAUGUCUUGCGGAUAUGGAUGUUGGAUGUUGGAUUUUUGAAGGUGCAUGAAUCAUUUGGUCACAGUUAAUGAAGAUUGUUGGACAUGGAUACGAUGCCGAGAUGAUUACCUAUUUAUUAUUCUAUUUAUAAAUGGUGGAUGUCACUAGGGUUGAAGAUUAUCACAUCGAUGUCUAAGAGACAGUUAAAUGCUCUUACGGACAAGAUCAUUAAUCCCAUAUCCAGGACUCCAUUUGGAAGACGAAGAACUCUAUACAAUAAAAUUGUUAGGGAGAAGUAAAGAAUACCUAUGAUGUGCACUGAGUGCUUUACUUGCCACUCCCUUGAUGAUUUACUACCCUUCUUGCUUACGACUUUGUGAUUUAUGUAUUCAUGUAGCUUGUUAAAAUGGAUGAUACUAUCUUAUUUAUUUUAAGAAUCUAGUUUGGUUUUUACUUCAA